GACGGGGCCCGCACAAGCGGCGGAGCAUGCGGUAUUAAUUCGAUGCAACGCGAAGAACCUUACCAAGGCUUGACAUACACCGGUAACGCCCAGAGAUGGGUGCCCCUUUGUGGUCGGUGUACAGGUGGUGCAUGGUUGUCGUCAGCUCGUGUCGUGAGAUGUUGGGUUAAGUCCCGCAACGAGCGCAACCCUCGUCCUAUGUUGCCAGCGGGUCAUGCCGGGGACUCAUGGGAGACUGCCGGGGUCAACUCGGAGGAAGGUGGGGAUGACGUCAAAUCAUCAUGCCCCUUAUGUCUUGGGCUUCACGCAUGCUACAAUGGCCGGUACAAAGGGCUGCGAUACCGCGAGGUGGAGCGAAUCCCAGAAAGCCGGUCUCAGUUCGGAUUGGGGUCUGCAACUCGACCCCAUGAAGUCGGAGUCGCUAGUAAUCGCAGAUCAGCAACGCUGCGGUGAAUACGUUCCCGGGCCUU
rnacentral:rRNA from 1 species